GUAGUCAAUAACGCGUCGCGAUUGGUGAAGCCGGCGAGACGGUGGACUUCAUUUCCCGAGUAAACCAUCGUCGAAGGACAUGCGGUGGCCAUCUGCAACUCGUAAAUAUACUUCCGCCUGCAGUGCUGCAGAAAGCUUGUCUGCAGAAGCAGGAAGUCCCCAGAUGGAGGCGCUGUGUAUGUAUGAGUUUGGUUUUGUUUGUUUUUGUUUCUAUGCACCACUUUUGGUGUAUAUUAGUGCAUUACUACUGCCAGUCUUACAUACUGCUACCUUUCUGCAAUCAAAUGAGUUCAUUUGAUUGCGUAGUAGUAUGGGGGACUGGCAGUAGUAAUGCACUAACGGAGAGUGGGGCCCCUGUCAAAAAUUUUUUUUUUUUUUACCUUCCAAAAAUUUUGAAUUUGCAAAAAAAUAUUAUAACCCCCAUGUUGUAUUCUGGGAAAUUCCGGGGGGCCAGAUUGCCUGCCCGUCCACUCACACCACACACACACCUCCCCCACCCUUGGGGACCACCGACGUUGCUCAGGUGCGGUCUCAGGGACUCGAACCAUCAACCUCUACCUCCUGAGGAUCGGUUCAGCCCCCUACGCCACAUACUCCUUCGCAUUUAUCGCUCAUUUUUUUGUGCACUUACACAGCACUACGGACAAAAGCUGCGCAAACUGAAGGGACGAACGGGGAUUCGAACCCUGAAGCUCCGCGUUCCAAGCUUUGGACAAUACCUUUACGCCACCGUCAUGUUAGCGGUUGCGCGGCUGCAGAAAUGGCCUGAUGAUGAGACAACCCAAGUAUAAGCGAAACAAAGACGAAGGGGGGUUCGAACCCCAACCUCUGCGUCCGUAGGCAAAGACAAUACCGCUGCGCCACCUUCUCUUCUGUGAAUCGGCCGGCUUUUCUGUGGGUAGAAGAAGAUGACACAACAGAAAUUUUUACAAAAAAAUCUCAGAAAUUUUGCCUUCAUCUACUAACUUCGGACCUGAAGGCGAUGAACCUUGUUACCUAUGUCUUACAGCUGGUUCUUAGAGCCACAGCAGAGGGGGGAUUGAACUUACUAUCUUGGGAUUCGUGGAACAGGGUACUCUGUCUUGCACCACGAAGCCCUUCAAGAAUUCCUGGGUGUUCAUUAGUGAACUUAUUCACAGACCGAUAAGAAUUAAACAGGAAGAGCUCAGCUUUGAAUAGCAGAGAUCCAGAUUAGGUGCUCUCCUAAAAUGAACUCUACGAAACUGUGGAAAAUUAUAAACUGACACCCUAACAUAUUUUGGCUUCUUUAAAUAAAGCUGUUGAUUCAUUGAAGGAAUUCCUUUGCAUUUGUGAUUUAUAAUUAGAAUAACAGGUGACUGACCAGUCCCGUUCAAACAGAUGACCUAAUUAAAGGUGUAAUGUUGUUGCAUCUUAUAGGUGUGCAUGAAAGUGAUUAGUUGGUUAUAUUUUUUAUGCCUUUGAAUGUUUUCUUUCACAAGGAUGAAAAAUGAGAUUUAAUCUAGUCAGUAAUGUACUAUGGAGAACACUCAUAUUCUGUUUUUAUAAACUGCAGUGGAUAUGUAUUGGGGACAGGGCUUGUAAAUGCAUUUUAUUUUCUUUUUAAUAAUGAAAUAAAAUGAAUUGUGUUUUGUAAUUUUAUACUGCAAUUACAUUUCAUUCUUGAAUGUUGUGCUGCCAUUGCUGAAUAAAAAUAAUGCACAAUAA